rnacentral:lncRNA from 1 species
UGCUCGCUAGGAUAUCGUAUCCUAUGCAUACGUAUCUCCUUGGACUAAGGAGAAUCAGAGCAUCCGUAGCUCGGCUAACACGCACACAAAACACAACAGACAAAGGCAAACAUGGAAUCCGAAUGCCAAUCGCUGGACUUAUAUCAGCAUCCGAACCAAACAAAACCACACUGGAACCCGAAUGCCACUCGAUGGACUUAC